rnacentral:rRNA from 1 species
GAUGAACGCUGGCUACAGGCUUAACACAUGCAAGUCGAGGGGAAACGACGGGGAAGCUUGCUUCCCCGGGCGUCGACCGGCGCACGGGUGAGUAACGCGUAUCCAACCUGCCUCUGACUGAGGGAUAACCCGUCGAAAGUCGGCCUAAUACCUCAUGGCAUCGUCUGCGGGCAUCCAACGACGAUUAAAGAUUUCAUCGGUCAGGGAUGGGGAUGCGUCUGAUUAGCUAGUUGGCGGGGUAACGGCCCACCAAGGCGACGAUCAGUAGGGGUUCUGAGAGGAAGGUCCCCCACAUUGGAACUGAGACACGGUCCAAACUCCUACGGGAGGCAGCAGUGAGGAAUAUUGGUCAAUGGGCGAGAGCCUGAACCAGCCAAGUAGCGUGCAGGAUGACGGCCCUAUGGGUUAUAAACUGCUUUUAUGCGGGGAUAAAGUGAGGGACGUGUCCUUCAUUGCAGGUACCGCAUGAAUAAGGACCGGCUAAUUCCGUG